UACAUGGGGUGCAAACGUUGUUCGGAAUUACUGGGCGUAAAGCGUGUGUAGGCGGCUAUGUAAGUCGGAUGUGAAAGCCCUGGGCUCAACCCAGGAAGUGCACUCGAUACUGCGUAGCUUGAGUACCGGAGAGGUUGGUGGAAUUCUCGGUGUAGAGGUGAAAUUCGUAGAUAUCGAGAGGAACACCGGUGGCGAAGGCGGCCAACUGGACCAUUACUGACGCUGAGGCACGAAAGCUAGGGGAGCAAACAGG
rnacentral:rRNA from 1 species